GGAGAAAAGCAGGGGAUCGCAAGACCUUGCGCUUUUGGAGCGGCCGAUGUCUGAUUAGCUUGUUGGUAAGGUAAAAGCUUACCAAGGCUUCGAUCAGUAGCUGGUCUGAGAGGACGACCAGCCACACUGGGACUGAGACACGGCCCAGACUCCUACGGGAGGCAGCAGUGGGGAAUUUUGGACAAUGGGGGCAACCCUGAUCCAGCCAUGCCGCGUGAGUGAAGAAGGCCUUCGGGUUGUAAAGCUCUUUCAGCCGGAACGAAACGGUUACGGUUAAUACCCGUGACUACUGACGGUACCGGAAGAAGAAGCACCGGCUAACUACGUGCCAGCAGCCGCGGUAAUACGUAGGGUGCGAGCGUUAAUCGGAAUUACUGGGCGUAAAGCGUGCGCAGGUGGUUUUGUAAGUCAGAUGUGAAAUCCCCGGGCUCAACCUGGGAACUGCGUUGAAACUACAAAGCUAG
rnacentral:rRNA from 1 species